rnacentral:misc_RNA from 1 species
GCAAACUUGGUCAUUUAGAGGAAGUAAAAGUCGUAACAAGGUUUCCGUAGGUGAACCUGCGGAAGGAUCAUUGCCGAACGGACGCGUGCCCAAAGGCCCCUCGCGGGUGCCUCAAGGCCGCGUCUUAUCGCACACCCAUGUGAAUUAGUGAUCGUGACCCUGGACGGUGGGUGCGCUACGUGCACGCUCGCCGAUCCGGCUCCCUUCAAAACAAUCAACAACGAUGAAAACCUCUUGACUGAGACGAAUGGGUCGACGCCUAACAAGCGCCCGACUCGACAAGACAUAACCUAUCACAACUUUUAACAACGGAUAUCUUGGCUCGCGCAUCGAUGAAGAACGCAGC